GCGCAUGUAGCUUAGUGGAUAGGGCGUCUAUUUUCAAAGCUGAAGGUCGCAGGUUUGACCCCUACCUGGCGCG
rnacentral:tRNA from 1 species